ACGAACGCUGGCGGCGUGCUUAACACAUGCAAGUCGAGCGGAAAGGCCCUUCGGGGUACUCGAGCGGCGAACGGGUGAGUAACACGUGAGUAACCUACCUCGAACUCUGGGAUAAGCCUGGGAAACUGGGUCUAAUACCGGAUGUUCAUCUCCUGCUGCAUGGUGGGGGAUGGAAAGUGUUUAGCGGUUCGGGAUGGGCUCGCGGCCUAUCAGCUUGUUGGUGAGGUAAUGGCUUACCAAGGCUUUUACGGGUAGCCGGCCUGAGAGGGCGACCGGCCACACUGGGACUGAGAUACGGCCCAGACUCCUACGGGAGGCAGCAGUGGGGAAUAUUGCGCAAUGGGCGGAAGCCUGACGCAGCAACGCCGUGUGAGGGAUGACGGCCUUCGGGUUGUAAACCUCUUUCACCAGGGACGAAGCUUUUGUGACGGUACCUGGGGAAGAAGCGCCGGCCAACUACGUGCCAGCAGCCGCGGUAACACGUAGGGCGCGAGCGUUGUCCGGAAUUAUUGGGCGUAAAGGGCUCGUAGGCGGUUUGUCGCGUCGAAAGUGAAAAUCCGGGGCUCAACUCCGGACUUGCUUUCGAUACGGGCAGGCUAGAGGUAGGCAGGGGAGAAUGGAAUUCCUGGUGUAGCGGUGGAAUGCGCAGAUAUCAGGAGGAACACCGGUGGCGAAGGCGGUUCUCUGGGCCUUACCUGACGCUGAGGAGCGAAAGCGUGGGGAGCGAACAGGAUUAGAUACCCUGGUAGUCCACGCUGUAAACGUUGGGCGCUAGGUGUGGGAGUCUUUUGUGACGUCCGUGCCGUAGCUAACGCAUUAAGCGCCCCGCCUGGGGAGUACGGUCGCAAGACUAAAACUCAAAGGAAUUGACGGGGGCCCGCACAAGCGGCGGAGCAUGUUGCUUAAUUCGAGGCAACGCGAAGAACCUUACCUGGGUUUGACAUGUGGGUUAAUCCGGCAGAGAUGUCGGGUCCUUUUGGGAACUCAUGCAGGUGGUGCAUGGCUGUCGUCAGCUCGUGUCGUGAGAUGUUCGGUUAAGUCCGGCAACGAGCGCAACCCACGUCCCCGGUUGCCAGCAUUCAGUUGGGCACUCUGUGGAAACUGCCGAUGAUAAGUCGGAGGAAGGUGUGGAUGACGUCAAGUCCUCAUGGCCCUUACGGGUUGGGCUACACACGUGCUACAAUGGUGGUGACAGUGGGAUAAUCCCCAAAAGCCAUCUCAGUUCGGAUUGUCCUCUGCAACUCGAGGGCAUGAAGUUGGAAUCGCUAGUAAUCGCGGAACAGCAUGCCGCGGUGAAUACGUUCCCGGGCCUUGCACACACCGC
rnacentral:rRNA from 1 species